rnacentral:rRNA from 1 species
UAUUAGUCAAUGCUCGCAAGAGUGAACUAGCUAACUGAAAUCACAUAAGUGACUUAUGUGAUGUCGUAAGGGAAAAUAAUGAUAUUACCUUACUAAUAGUGUCGUCUAAAACUGGUGCCAGAAGACUCGGUAAGGCCAGAGACACAAAUGUUAAUCGUCUUAAUCAGGCGUAAAGGGUUUGUAGGCAGCUUUGAAAGUAUUGGUUUAACAUAGCCAUAGUAAAACAAUAUUAAUUAAAGCUAGAAUCUAAUAGAGGAUAUUUACGAAAUAAUGCUUGGUAGAGGGCUGAUAUCCGCAGACAUCAAGUGGAGUUCUACUGGCGUAAGCAUUUAUCCAUUAAAGAUUGACGCUGAGAAACGAAGGUGAGGAUAGGAAAUAGGAUUAGAUACCCAGAUACCCCUCUCUGUCAACGAUGAAUGGUAGUUUGUUAGUAUAAAAUAGACUAGUGACGAAGUUAACACGUUAACCAUUCCGCCUUGUGAGUACGACUGCAAAGUUGAAAACAAAAAAAUUAGUCGGUCUCGGAGCAAACGAAGUGAAGUAUGUUAUUUAAU